ACGCGAAGAUAACGUGUCUCACGGUGCUCGUUUCGUCCGAUCCGAUCUGGCACAGCUUCUACUGGGAAUACUCGGUCUAUUUCUACAGAAGUUUACGUCAUUACUAGAGCGACGAUUUAGACGUUAGGGGAUAAAGUUUCACUUUGUUGCUGAAGAUACCGGUUUAACCAGUAUGCAGAUUACCCACAUCAAGACGACAUUCAGUUCUUCUACGUGUCUAGAUUCAUCGCUUGUACCUUUCCGCCACGCAAGAAAUAGCAAAACGUUUUAAAACAUACCUUCUCUACACCUUAAAAACACGCAAGAAAUAUAACCGCAUCAAGAUAAAUCCGACCGGUAGGGAACGUAUUAUUCCUAAGAUCGCUAAUCGAAGACACUGAAGAAAGAUGAACCGUUACGAAGUUACAGUGAU